rnacentral:tRNA from 1 species
GCCGAGGUGUUGAAACUGGUAGACAAGCACGCUUGAGGUGCGUGUGGGGUAACACCCGUGGAGGUUCGAGUCCUCUCCUCGGCA